UUACAACAAUAUUAAUUAGUAUACAGGUGUGACAGAGCCACUCAGGCCUGGAGGGGAAUUACAACAAUAUUAAUAAUAAUAAUAUUAGUAUACAGGUGUGACAGAGACACUCAGGCCUGGAGGGGAAUUACAACAAUAUUAAUAAGAAUAUUAUUAGUAUACAGGUGUGACAGAGACACUCAGGCCUGGAGGGGAAUUACAACAAGAGAGAAUCCAAAUUGAAUGUAAUUAAUCAGUUCCGUGGUUGCCAUGGACAUUGUUUUAAGCAUUUUUUUUUUUAAAUGACGUCUUGAGUGUUUGAGCUACAAUAUCUGGUGAAUUUGACCUAUGGAGUUUCUGGACUAAUGGCCAGUCAGUCAGGGUUUGGCUAGGUAGCUAGCUGGGCUAAUGGCCAGUCAGUCAGGGUUUGGCUAGGUAGCAAGCUGGACUAAUGGCCAGUCAGUCAGGGUUUGGCUAGGUAGCUAGCUGGGCUAAUGGCCAGUCAGUCAGUGUUUGGCUAGGUAGCAAGCUGGACUAAUGGCCAGUCAGUCAGGGUUUGGCUAGGUAGCUAGCUGGGCUAAUGGCCAGUCAGUCAGGGUUUGGCUAGGUAGCUAGCUGGGCUAAUGGCCAGUCAGUCAGGGUUUGGCUAGGUAGCUAGCUGGACUAAUGGCCAGUCAGUCAGUGUUUGGCUAGGUAGCUAGCUGGGCUAAUGGCCAGUCAGUCAGUGUUUGGCUAGGUAGCUAGCUAGCUGGACUAAUGGCCAGUCAGUCAGGGUUUGGCUAGGUAGCUAGCUGGGCUAAUGGCCAGUCAGUCAGGGUUUGGCUAGGUAGCUAGCUGGACUAAUGGCCAGUCAGUCAGGGUUUGGCUAGGUAGCUAGCUGGACUAAUGGCCAGUCAGUCAGGGUUUGGCUAGGUAGCUAGCUGGGCUAAUGGCCAGUCAGUCAGGGUUUGGCUAGGUAGCUAGCUGGACUAAUGGCCAGUCAGUCAGGGUUUGGCUAGGUAGCUAGCUGGACUAAUGGCCAGUCAGUCAGGGUUUGGCUAGGUAGCAAGCUGGACUAAUGGCCAGUCAGUCAGGGUUUGGCUAGGUAGCAAGCUGGACUAAUGGCCAGUCAGUCAGGGUUUGGCUAGGUAGCAAGCUGGACUAAUGGCCAGUCAGUCAGGGUUUGGCU